UUAGUGGCGAACGGGUGAGUAAUACGUGAGUAACCUGCCCCUGUCUUUGGGAUAAGCCUGGGAAACUGGGUCUAAUACUGGAUAUUCUGCUUGAACCGCAUGGUUUUUGUUGGAAAGAUUUUUCGGAUGGGGAUGGGCUCACGGCCUAUCAGCUUGUUGGUGGGUGAUGGCCUACCAAGGCGUCGACGGGUAGCCGGCCUGAGAGGGUGACCGGCCACAUUGGGACUGAGAUACGGCCCAGACUCCUACGGGAGGCAGCAGUGGGGAAUAUUGCACAAUGGACGCAAGUCUGAUGCAGCGACGCCGCGUGGGGGAUGAAGGCUUUCGGGUUGUAAACUCCUUUCAGUACAGAAGAAGCGAAAGUGACGGUAUGUGCAGAAGAAGCACCGGCUAACUACGUGCCAGCAGCCGCGGUAAUACGUAGGGUGCGAGCGUUGUCCGGAAUUAUUGGGCGUAAAGAGCUCGUAGGCGGUUUGUUGCGCCUGCUGUGAAAACCUGGGGCUUAACUUCGGGAUUGCAGUGGGUACGGGCAGACUAGAGUGUGGUAGGGGUAAUUGGAAUUCCUGGUGUAGCGGUGGAAUGCGCAGAUAUCAGGAGGAACACCGAUGGCGAAGGCGGUUUACUGGGCCACAUCUGACGCUGAUGUACGAAAGCGUGGGGAGCAAACAGGAUUAGAUACCCUGGUAGUCCACGCCGUAAACGAUGAGUGCUAAGUAUCGGUAGAUUCGGUGCUUAAGCUAACGCAGUAAGCACUCCGCCUGGGGAGUACGGUCGCAAGACUGAAACUCAAAGGAAUUGACGGGGACUCGCACAAGCGGUGGAGCAUGCGGUUUAAUUCGAUGCAACGCGAAGAACCUUACCAGGUCUUGACAGUGUAAAGAAUACUUAAGAGAUUAAGGGCUAAGAAUUAAGCUUGCUUAUUUCACUUUAUAAACAGGUGGUGCAUGGUUGUCGUCAGCUCGUGUCGUGAGAUGUUGGGUUAAGUCCCGCAACGAGCGCAACCCCCAUUGCUAGUUGCCAUCAUUAAGUUGGGCACUCUAGCAAGACUGCCGGUGACAAAUCGGAUGAAGGUGGGGAGGACGUCAAAUCAUCAUGCCCCCUAUGACCUGGGCUACACGCGUGCUACAAUGGCUAAUACAAAGAGUUGCAAAACCGUGAGGUAGAGCUAAUCUCAUAAAGUUAGUCUCAGUUCGGAUUGUAGUCUGCAACUCGACUACAUGAAGUUGGAAUCGCUAGUAAUCGUAAAUCAG
rnacentral:rRNA from 1 species